rnacentral:rRNA from 1 species
UACGGGGGGGGCAAGCGUUGUUCGGAAUUACUGGGCGUAAAGGGCGCGUAGGCGGCCUGCUAAGUCACACGUGAAAUCCCUCGGCUCAACCGGGGAACUGCGUGUGAUACUGGCGGGCUUGAAUUCGGGAGAGGGAUGUGGAAUUCCAGGCGUAGCGGUGAAAUGCGUAGAUAUCUGGAGGAACACCGGUGGCGAAGGCGGCAUCCUGGACCGAGAUUGACGCUGAGGCGCGAAAGCUAGGGGAGCAAACGGG